rnacentral:rRNA from 1 species
CCUACGGGAGGCAGCAGUGAGGAAUAUUGGUCAAUGGCCGAGAGGCUGAACCAGCCAAGUCGCGUGAGGGAAGAUGGCCCUACGGGCUGUAAACCUCUUUUGUCGGGGAGCAAAGCGACCCACGUAUGGUUCAUUGAGAGUACCCGAAGAAAAAGCAUCGGCUAACUCCGUUCCAGCAGCCGCGGUAAUACGGAGGAUGCGAGCGUUAUCCGGAUUUAUUGGGUUUAAAGGGUGGCCAGGCGGAGGUGCAAGUCAGCGGUAAAAUGGCGGGGCUACACCCCGUACUGCCGUUGAAACUGCAUCCCUUGAGUGCGCGAGAGGAAAGUGGAAUGCGUGGUGUAGCGGUGAAAUGCAUAGAUAUCACGAAGAACUCCGAUUGCGAAGGCAGCAUACCGGCGCGCAACUGACGCUCAUGCACGAAAGCGUGGGUAGCGAACAGGAUUAGAUACCCCAGUAGUC